rnacentral:rRNA from 1 species
GGAUUGGGAGGGUUCUACGGAACCCGUUUGGUGAAUCUAGUGCCGAGAAAAGCCUUCUAUGUGUUGAAUUUCUAGUACCCGUACCCCAAACCGACACAGGUGGGUGGGUAGAGCAUAUCUAGGGGCGCGUGAUAACUCUCUCUAAGGAACUCGGCAAAAUGGCCCUGUAACUUCGGGAUAAGGGGUGCCUGCGUAAGCAGGCCGCAGUGAAAUGGCUCUGGCGACUGUUUACCAAAAACACAGGUCUCUGCUAAGUCGUAAGACGAUGUAUAGGGGCUGACUCCUGCCCAGUGCCGGAAGGUUAAGGAAGUUGGUUAGCGCAAGCGAAGCUGGCGACCGAAGCCCCGGUGAACGGCGGCCGUAACAAUAACGGUCCUAAGGUAGCGAAAUUCCUUGUCGGGUAAGUUCCGACCCGCACGAAAGGAGUAACGAUCAGAGCGCUGUCUCGGAGAGAGACACGGCGAAAUAGGAUUGUCCGUGAAGAUACGGACUACCUGCACCCGGACAGAAAGACCCUAUGAAGCUUUACUGUAACUUGGAAUUGUGUUCGGACUUUGUCUGCGCAGAAUAGGUGGGAGGCUAUGAAACGUUCCUCGCGGGGAACUGGAGCCAUCGUUGAGAUACCACUCUGGCAGAGUCUGGAUUCUAACCUACGGGGACAGUUCCAGGUGGGCAGUUUGACUGGGGCGGUCGCCUCCUAAAAUGUAACGGAGGCGCGCAAAGGUUCCCUCAGGCUGGUUGGAAAUCAGCCAUAGAGUGUAAAAGCAUAAGGGAGCUUGACUGUGAGACCUACAAGUCGAGCAGGGACGAAAGUCGGCUUUAGUGAUCCGACGGCACUGAGUGGAAGGGCCGUCGCUCAACGGAUAAAAGUUACUCUAAGGAUAACAGGCUGAUCUCCCCCAAGAGUUCACAUCGACGGGGAGGUUUGGCACCUUGAUGUCGGCUCGUCGCAACCUGGGGCGGUAGUACGUCCCAAGGGUUGGGCUGUUCGCCCAUUAAAGCGGCACGUGAGCUGGGUUCAGAACGUCGUGAGACAGUUCGGUCCAUAUCCGGUGUAGGCGUAGGAGCAUUGAAAGGAUCUCUCCUUAGUACGAGAGGACCGGGAGGGACGUACCUCUGGUGUACCUGUUAUCGUGCCAACGGUAAACGCAGGGUAGCCAUGUACGGAGUGGAUAACCGCUGAAAGCAUCUAAGUGGGAAGCCCACCUUAAGAUGAGUGCUCCCUUGAGGCCACGGGAAGACGACCCGUUUGAUAGGCGCUAGGUGGAAGUGCAGUAAUGCAUGCAGCCGAGGCGUACUAAUAGGCCGAUGGCUUGUC